GGUCCAGCCUGCCCAGUGACCCUAGGUUCAACGGCCGCGGUAUUUUGACCGUGCAAAGGUAGCGCAAUCACUUGUCUUUUAAAUGAAGACCUGUAUGAAUGGCCAAACGAGGGCUUAACUGUCUCCCCUCUCAGGUCAAUGAAAUUGAUCUGCCCGUGCAGAAGCGGACAUAAAAAUACAAGACGAGAAGACCCUUUGGAGCUUAAGGUUCACCUCAACCGCAUAAAAUAACUUACCAAACAAGUGCCAAACCUAGCGGAAAUGAGACAAUACCUUCGGUUGGGGCGACCAUGGAGAAAAAUUUAUCCUCCAAGUGGAUAGGACAUACAGUCUAAACCAAGAGGCACACCUCUAAGCCACAGAAAAUCUGACCAAUAAUGAUCCGGCUCAAAAGCCGAUCAACGAACCAAGUUACCCUAGGGAUAACAGCGCAAUCCCCUCCCAGAGUCCAUAUCGACAAGGGGGUUUACGACCUCGAUGUUGGAUCAGGACAUCCUAAUGGUGCAGCCGCUAUUAAGGGUUCGUUUGUUCAACGAUUAAAGUCCUACGUGAUCUGAUUU
rnacentral:rRNA from 1 species